GAUGAACGCUGGCGGCGUGCCUAACACAUGCAAGUCGAACGGAGAUUACGGACGGAAGUUUUCGGAUGGAAGACUGUAAUUCUUAGUGGCGGACGGGUGAGUAACGCGUGGGCAACCUGCCCUAUACAGGGGGAUAGCAGCUGGAAACGGCUGGUAAGACCGCAUAAGUCGGCGAGACCGCAUGGUUUUGCCGGGAAAUGAGCAAUCAGGUAUAGGAUGGGCCCGCGUCCGAUUAGCCAGUUGGCAGGGUAAAAGCCUACCAAAGCAACGAUCGGUAGCCGGACUGAGAGGUCGGACGGCCACAGUGGGACUGAGACACGGCCCAAACUCCUACGGGAGGCAGCAGUGGGGGAUAUUGCACAAUGGAGGAAACUCUGAUGCAGCGACGCCGCGUGAGUGAAGAAGUAUUUCGGUAUGUAAAGCUCUAUCAGCAGGGAAGAUGAUGACGGUACCUGACGAAGAAGCCCCGGCUAACUACGUG
rnacentral:rRNA from 1 species